GACGAACGCUGGCGGCGUGCUUAACACAUGCAAGUCGAGCGGUAAGGCCCUUUCGGGGGUACACGAGCGGCGAACGGGUGAGUAACACGUGGGUGACCUGCCCUCAGCUCUGGGAUAAGCCUGGGAAACCGGGUCUAAUACUGGAUAUGACUCCAUGACGCAUGUUGUGGGGUGGAAAGCCUUGUGCGGCUGAGGAUGGGCCCGCGGCCUAUCAGCUUGUUGGUGGGGNGAUGGCCUACCAAGGCGACGACGGGUAGCCGGCCUGAGAGGGCGACCGGCCACACUGGGGCUGAGACACGGCCCAGACUCCUACGGGAGGCAGCAGUGGGGAAUCUUGCGCAAUGGGCGAAAGCCUGACGCAGCGACGCCGCGUGAGGGAUGACGGCCUGGU
rnacentral:rRNA from 1 species